ensembl:lncRNA
GCAUGGACAAAAAAAUAAAUAAAAUUAAAAAAAAAACAAAAAAAACAGAAAGAAAGGCGUAUAUAUUUUGGGCUCACACAGACAAACACAGACACCAAUAAAAAUCAAUGAGAACUGCUGAUACUUGAGGGAUGGUGUUUUAUGACAGCUAUAAAUAACAACAAAAAUCUGUUGCCUCCACAGUGUAGAUAAGGGUGAAUGGUUACAUUAGACAAACGUACGUAUAUUGAUGCUACAUAAGGGUAACAACCAUUCAUUGAUGUAUUUAUGGCACAAUCAUCAGAGGACACUGUGGUUUGAAGGACUGCACAGCGAGAAGCCAACAAACUUUUACAACUUAAUGAGCUGGAAUACGUCAGGUCAGGGGCUACCGAUGCUUUAUAGUCCAGCACGGGUCCAUGUGAAAAAAAAAAGAAAAGAAAAUUAUGACACGUUUGUCAUAUUGUUUAUGGCUCUGAGUCCACCCGCUAUUCUUAACACUGUCACUGCCACUUUGAUCCCGGUGGAGUAUUUGACACGAGCUGCUUCUCUUUUCACAAACGGUACCGGAGCAAUUUUGGGGUUUUUUUUUUGUUUUGCCAAUCAGCUCAUCACAGCACACAAAUUAAUCUAUGUAGGUAACGUUUGGCACUAGCUGGGCCAGGUGAUAAAGACAGGGACAGAGAGAGACGAUGAAGAAUAGAAGAGUGGUUAUGAUACAGAACAGACAGACGCUGAAGUUGGAAAAAUGAAAAACUCCAAAUCAAAACACCAAGCCCCACAGUUCCACACCUGGAAAUAGAAGUAGAUAAAAACUUUGGAAACACAAAGGUAAAUACAGGAUCGCAAUGUACAAUAUGUCAGCUGUGUGUAGAAAACAGAUGCAUUCAUUUGAUUAUUUUAAAAAUAUAUCUUUAUAUGCACAUACUCUUUUGUACAGCGGCUAAACACUUGUUUGGUAUUAAAAUGUGCACAUCUGUAUCUAUUUUGUGUCUUUAAAUAUUACUAUCUCAGUUUACACUGCUUACUUAACAUUUUCUCCAGACAGUAUGAUUCAAUAACGUGAGAAAGGAGCUAGGUGACAGUUCUAACUUCCCUUUGAUAUAAUGUCUUAUUCAAGUGGAAUGCCAAGAGUUCUUUAAC